GUUAAAACGCACAACACAACCGAGCGAUGAGAUAUUUCCAAGGAAGGGGUAUAUAUAGCAAUGGCGCCAAGUGUAUUAAAUAACUCGUCUCUGUUCUGUAUAAUUGUAUUUUCGGUCAUUUUACUUCCAGUACUGUCGCAGGUCAACUCAGAUCUGAUAUUUGUUCAGUCUGACAAAGAAGAUUUAGACAAAAUUGAUGUAGCUGAAGAAAAGUCUUUUGCUUUUAAAUUGGGAAAUGAUGGUCCGGAAGGUCCACCACAUAUUGUUAACAUCAGAGGACCAAGAAGCUUAGGAGGGGGAAGCUAUGGACUUCCAGGUUUACCUGGACUAGACGACGAUUUACAUGUCCCAGAUUCAUCAGACACAGGUGGUCGCCCUGGAUUAUUUUUCGGUACCGUAGCUGCCAUGCACUGUAGAAUGUGUCAACAGAGAAGAAAUCAAAGGUGUAUUAGAAGAUAUUGUAAUUUUAAUUCAUAAUCGACUAUGGAAGAAAAACUAAAUGGCAUACAAAUAUACUGUACCAGAAUUAAAAUAUAAUUUGACGAA